rnacentral:rRNA from 1 species
GACGAACGCUGGCGGCGUGCUUAACACAUGCAAGUCGAGCGGAAAGGCCACUUCGGUGGUACUCGAGCGGCGAACGGGUGAGUAACACGUGAGUAAUCUGCCCCUGGCUUUGGGAUAGCCACAGGAAACGGUGAUUAAUACCGGAUACGACUACUUCUAGCAUGGGAUGGUGGUGGAAAGUUUUGUCGGCUAGGGAUGUGCUCGCGGCCUAUCAGCUUGAUGGUGAGGUAAUGUCUCACCAUGGCUUCGACGGGUAGCCGGCCUGAGAGGGUGACCGGGCACACUGGGACUGAGACACGGCCCAGACUCCUACGGGAGGCAGCAGUGGGGAAUAUUGGACAAUGGGCGGAAGCCUGAUCCAGCAACGCCGCGUGAGGGAUGACGGCCUUCGGGUUGUAAACCUCUUUCAGCAGGGACGAAGCGCAAGUGACGGUACCUGCAGAAGAAGCACCGGCCAACUACGUGCCAGCCGCCGCAGUAA